CACGUAGGGUGCGAGCGUUGUCCGGAAUUAUUGGGCGUAAAGAGCUCGUAGGCGGUGUGUCGCGUCGGCCGUGAAAACCUGCAGCUUAACUGUGGGCUUGCGGUCGAUACGGGCAUCACUGGAGUUCGGCAGGGGAGACUGGAAUUCCUGGUGUAGCGGUGAAAUGCGCAGAUAUCAGGAGGAACACCGAUGGCGAAGGCAGGUCUCUGGGCCAUAACUGACGCUGAGAAGCGGAAAGCAUGGGGGAGCGAACAGG
rnacentral:rRNA from 1 species